CAUUCACCAACACAAACUUUGUGCAUUGUUCCCCUAUUUUUUCUAUCAAUUCUCUUCCAUUCCUUACAAGGAAGCAAAUAUGAUUUUGUGCCUAAACUUGCUGUCCUUACUAGCAGUCCUCCAAGGAGUCCAGUCUCAAGUCCAGUUGGUGGAGUCUGGAGGGGAUGUGAGAAGACCUGGAGAGUCCCUCCGUCUCUCCUGCCAAGCCUCUGGAUUCACCUUCAGCAGCUAUGGCAUGUACUGGGUGAGACAGGCACCAGGGAAAGGACUGGAAUGGCUGUCCUACAUAAACGAUGAUUCCAGUGAUAUCAACUACUCAGACAAAGUGAAGGGACGCUUUACUGUCUCCAGGGACAAUGCCAAAAGCCAGCUGUAUCUGCAAAUGAACAGCCUCAAAGCUGAAGACACGGCAGUCUAUUACUGUGCAAGAGA